rnacentral:rRNA from 1 species
GAUGAACGCUGGCGGCGUGCCUAAUACAUGCAAGUCGAGCGAACAGAUGAGGAGCUUGCUCCUCUGACGUUAGCGGCGGACGGGUGAGUAACACGUGGAUAACCUACCUAUAAGACUGGGAUAACUUCGGGAAACCGGAGCUAAUACCGGAUAAUAUAUUGAACCGCAUGGUUCAAUAGUGAAAGACGGUUUUGCUGUCACUUAUAGAUGGAUCCGCGCCGCAUUAGCUAGUUGGUAAGGUAACGGCUUACCAAGGCAACGAUGCGUAGCCGACCUGAGAGGGUGAUCGGCCACACUGGAACUGAGACACGGUCCAGACUCCUACGGGAGGCAGCAGUAGGGAAUCUUCCGCAAUGGGCGAAAGCCUGACGGAGCAACGCCGCGUGAGUGAUGAAGGUCUUCGGAUCGUAAAACUCUGUUAUUAGGGAAGAACAAAUGUGUAAGUAACUAUGCACGUCUUGACGGUACCUAAUCAGAAAGCGACGGCUAACUACGUG